GGGAAUAUUGCACAAUGGGCGAAAGCCUGAUGCAGCGACACCGCGCGAGUGAAGAAGUAUUUCGGUAUGUAAAGCUCUAUUAGCAGGGAAGAAAAUGACGGUACCUGACUAAGAAGCUCCGCCUAACUACGUGCCAGCAGCCGCGGUAAUACGUAGGGGGCAAGCGUUAUCCGGAUUUACUGGGUGUAAAGGGAGCGUAGACGGCGAAGCAAGUCUGAAGUGAAAACCCAGGGCUCAACCCUGGGACUGCUUUGGAAACUGUUUUGCUGGAGUGUCGGAGAGGUAAGUGGAAUUCCUAGUGUAGCGGUGAAAUGCGUAGAUAUUAGGAGGAACACCAGUGGCGAAGGCGGCUUACUGGACGAUAACUGACGUUGAGGCUCGAAAGCGUGGGGAGCAAACA
rnacentral:rRNA from 1 species